rnacentral:siRNA from 1 species
CGUAGCUUCUCCAUCACUCUCCU